rnacentral:tRNA from 1 species
GUUUAAGCUUCAUAUAUAAAGUUAUAACUUUUUUUAGAA